AUACGGAAGGUCCGGGCGUUAUCCGGAUUUAUUGGGUUUAAAGGGAGCGCAGGCGGAGAUGCAAGCGUGACGUCAAAUUUCGGGGCUCAACCCCGUCUCGCGUCGCGAACUGCGUCCCUUGGUUGCGGGAAGGGGAGGCGGAACUCGUGGUGUAGCGGUGAAAUGCAUAGAUAUCACGAAGAACUCCGAUCGCGAAGGCAGCCUUCCGGCCCGUCAACGACGCUCAUGCUCGAAGGUGCGGGUAUCAAACAGGGUUAGAUACCCUGGUAGUCCGCACAGUAAACGAUGGACACCCGCGGUUUGGCCUGUAUGGCUGAGCCGCCAAGCGAAAGCGUUAAGUGUCCCACCUGGGGAGUACGCCGGCAACGGUGAAACUCAAAGGAAUUGACGGGG
rnacentral:rRNA from 1 species